rnacentral:tRNA from 1 species
GGGCAGUUAGCUCAGCUGGUAGAGCAUCGCCUUCACACGGCGGGGGUCACAGGUUCAAACCCUGUACUGCGCACCA